UUCGGCCUGAUGUUUUUGAUUUGGUUUAUGACUUGGGGUCAACACACCUGAGUGUACUAGGAAGAGGUGACUGUACGCUGGUCUUCCAGUACGACCAUAUCCUCAAUGCCGCGUUUCCCAAAGAAUACUGCAAUCAUUCUUUUUGUUUACAGAUCGAGACUUCCACACCUCCACUGGAGCAUCCUCAUCCUCAAACAGCCAGAUCUUGUUUCGUGAUUUUGUUUGAACGUCGUAAUAAUUCAGCCAGGUUUCGUCGCCCUGUUAGAAUACUAUUUACAUCCCGAGAAGAUACCGAUUCAAAUCUUUUUAGCAUUUUUUGGCACAACCUCACUCUCGCUGUCAUUUGCUCCUCGGUCAAAGCAUUGUGGUACCCAUAGAAUACAAACCUUCCUAACAUUUAAAUGUUCAUGCAGAAUUCGAUGGACUGCUGGUGCACUAAUGUGUAAAGUUUGCUCUAUCUGCCGGCACUGUCUGCCGGCAGUAGAUUAUUCACAGACGCAAUGUUUUCCGAUGUCACCAAUCCCGCCGGUCGACCUGAACGCGAGUCGUCAGCGAGACCGAAAUUUCCUCUUUCGAACUGUUUGUACCAUCCGAAAAUUGUUGUGAGAUGCGGACAAUCCUUACCCAAUACCGCAAACAUUUCCUCAAAACUUUAGUCUACACUUAAACCGCGAGAAAAGUUGUAUCGAAUAAUCGGAAGAUAUUCUUCCUUUGUCCACGACGCCAUUUCUGAAUCGUUCCGGGCUGCGUGCUUAGACUGUACUGAGACCUGAGUAAACAUAAUCCCGCUUGCCGUAUGGACGCAGCGACGGGCAAGACGGAAGAAGAGCGUCAGACGAGUGCACAAAUCUUUUCCUUUUUGAUUGAUAUAGGAUCCGAUAUUAAUAUUAUCAAACUAAAUUCGUUAAAUGAAAAACUAUUUGUAAAUGAAGAUGAAUCUAUAGACAUAACGAAAUUGACUCAGAAUAGAUUUUCCACUAUAGGCACAUUUAAACUACGCUUAGAAAAAUCCAUGGUAGAUUUUCAUGUUGUCUCUCCAGAUUUUUCUCUUGCUACAGAUGGAAUUCUAGGAAGAGGAUACCUCUGACAAGAAAAGGUUAAAAUUUCAUUUUGGUUUAAUUGUAUAAUUACCCAUUCAAAACCUUUGAAGCCGAUUCCUUUCAUUGAUAACGAGUCAAAAGUCGCGCAGGAUCAGAUAACUGAUUAUAAAGGAGCAGGCUUAAAACAAAAACUCAAUAUAAAAGCCACCGAGAAAUCUGAACUAGACAGUGAAGCGGAAUUCGAUGAAAAAUUAAAUUCAAUUAUAAACCAGAAUGAAAAUGAACCAGAUGAACCUAAAAUUCCAGAACUAUUAUACGAAAGAAAUAAAAAAGAAAAUACAAAUGCAAGUAUUCCAGAACAAAUAAAAUCUGUUUCAAACGUAAAAUUUUCAAUAAAACAAAAGGGCGAGGAAUUACAUCAAGCAAAAGCACCCAUCAGUCAUUUAAACUAUCGUGAGAGGUAAGGGGACUCACGAUAAACAAGCACCUCAUCGUGAGAGGCAAGGGGACUCACGAUAAUCAAGCACCCCAAAGGGAACAGAAUUUCCUACUUUCAUGUCGUUCCUCGGUAACGCUAAAAAAAUUGUUUUCUGAUACUCAACAAUGGGACGCAAGCGAAAACACUAGCUCAAUCUUUUGAAGUUUCUCCAAGAAAACUACAAUUUUAAUUAAAGAGGCAGCUCAAAACUGUUCCCAUUUCGAGGCUAAUGAGAUCAAGAAGAAUUUCAAGAGCAUAUGGAGGAGGUUUUACGCUACACGAACAAAAGAUGCUGAGGAGGGAAGUCGACCGACUCUCACAGGAGGUGCCUAAAAAUGAGGAUUUUGGAGAGCCCUUACAGACAGACGACGAAUAUUUUGCCGACGAUGAAGUUUAGGAUUGAUUAUGUUUUUUUAUUAUAUUAACUAACGUAAAGUACUCUUCAGUUUUUUAAAGCCUUAUAACUCAUAAAAUUGAUAUUAUUGGCAAUUUUAUUCAUUGUUAAUAUUUAUAUUAAUUUAUCUUCAUAAAUAAGUGUUAAUUUUUCUUCAACCUUUGUGAAAAAAAUCGAAAAUGGUUCAGUUUAUUUGAAAAUAUGA